rnacentral:rRNA from 1 species
UACGUAGGGUGCGAGCGUUGUCCGGAAUUAUUGGGCGUAAAGGGCUCGUAGGCGGUUUGUCGCGUCGGGAGUGAAAACACCGGGCUUAACUCGGUGCUUGCUUUCGAUACGGGCAGACUAGAGGCAUGCAGGGGAGAACGGAAUUCCUGGUGUAGCGGUGAAAUGCGCAGAUAUCAGGAGGAACACCGGUGGCGAAGGCGGGUCUCUGGGCCGAUACUGACGCUGAGGAGCGAAAGCAUGGGUAGCGAACAGG